CUAUGAAUAGUCGAAUCGUCCUGGAAAGGCGAGCCAGAGGAGGUGAGAGCCCGGUAGACGAAAUUGAUAGGUCUCUCUGGUUUAUGGACCCGAGUACUGCGGGGCACGAGGAACCCUGUGGGAAUCAAUGCCGACCACGGCAUAAGGCUAAAUAUGAUUCUGUGACCGAUAGUGAACCAGUACCGCGAGGGAAAGGUGAAAAGCACCCCGGAAGGGGAGUGAAAUAGUACCUGAAACCGUAUGCCUACAACCAGUCGGAGCCGAGCACUCAACUGUAAGCACCGCCGGAGAGAGAUUCUGGUAGGUGCUUUGAGUUGAGUGCUUGGUGACGGCGUGCCUUUUGCAUAAUGAGCCAGCGAGUUGUGGUAAGCAGCGCAGGUUAAGCCCUUCAGGGGCGGAGCCGUAGCGAAAGCGAGUCUGAAUAGGGCGAAUGAGUUGCUUGCUGCAGACGCGAAGCCGGGUGAUCUACCCAUGGCCAGGAUGAAACCCCGGUAAAACGAGGUGGAGGUCCGAACCUACUGGUGUUGAAAAACCAGGGGAUGAGCUGUGGGUAGGGGUGAAAGGCUAAUCAAACUCGGAGAUAGCUCGUUCUCCCCGAAAUAGCUUUAGGGCUAGCCUCGGGUAAAAGUGUGGCGGAGGUAGAGCACUAAUAGGGUAAGGGCCCGUUAGGGUACCAAUCUCUGUUAAACUCCGAAUACCGUACACAAGCUUCGUGGCCGAGAGGGAAACAGCCCAGACCAUCAGCUAAGGUCCCCAAGUAUAGGUUAAGUGCGAAAGGAGGUGGAAUGGCCCAGACAACCAGGAGGUUGGCUUAGAAGCAGCCAUCCUUUAAAAAGUGCGUAAUAGCUUACUGGUCGAGCCAUUCUGCGCCGAAAAUUGUCGGGACUAAACCUAUCACCGAAGCUGUGGUCCCGCACUUAAAUAAUUAAGUGCGGGAGGUAGGGGAGCAUUCUGCUGACCGGCGAAGGUAUGUCGUGAGGCAUGCUGGAGGAGGCAGAAGUGAGGAUGCUGGCAUAAGUAGCGAUAAAUACGGUGGGAAUCCGUAUCACCGAAAAUCUAAGGUUUCCUGAGUAAAGUUCGUCUGCUCAGGGUUAGUCGGGACCUAAGGUGAGGCCGAGAGGCGUAGCCGAUGGGAAACGGGUUAAAUAUUCCCGUACCACCAUAUCGGGUGUUUGAGUGAGCGGGGUGACGCAGGAGUGAAGGUCAUCCGGGUGUUGGACGUCCCGGUUUAAGCAGGUAGGCGGGGCUGGCAGGCAAAUCCGCUGGCCCAAUCCAAACGCCGAGACGCGAAUAGGAGGCCCCUAGGGCCAUAAACUGACCGUAAUCACACUGCCAGGAAAAACCUCGUUGGCGAAUCCGAUAGGUGCCCGUACCGCAAACCGACACAGGUAGAUGGGGAGAGAAUCCUCAGGUGCGCGAGUGAGCUCUCGUUUAGGAACUCGGCAAAAUAGCCCCGUAACUUCGGGAGAAGGGGUGCCCCUGAUAGGUAGAGAUCUUAGCGAUCCGAGCCGAAGGGGGUUGCAGUGACCAGGCCCAGGCGACUGUUUACUAAAAACACAUGUCUCUGCGAAGUCGUAAGACGACGUAUAGGGACUGACACCUGCCCGGUGCCGGAAGGUUAAGGGGAUCUGUUCGUCCCGCACUUAUUUUAGCUCAUAGGGAGGGAAUGUAUGUUUUACGUCUAUGUUUUAAUGAGUAAAGACAAAGACGCUAAAAUUUACAUUGGGUAUACCAAAGACUUAAAACAAAGACUUAGAUGUCACAACUCUUUAGGAAAUCAAGGCUUGACGAGAAGGAGAAAAUGGAUAUUAGUCUAUUAUGAGUCAUAUCUAUCCGAUGUAGAUGCCCGAAAAAGGGAGAGGCAAUUAAAAUAUGAUGGAAGGGCAAAGCGUUGGCUGUUGGAACGUACAAAGGAGUCCCUGGAGUGGGCUAAAAUAAGUGCGGGACAAAGCAGUGAACCGAAGCCCCGGUAAACGGCGGCCGUAACUAUAACGGUCCUAAGGUAGCGAAAUUCCUUGUCGGGUAAGUUCCGACCUGCACGAGGCUCGGCGAAAUUGAGAUAUCGGUGAAGACGCCGAUUUCCCGCAACGGGACGGAAAGACCCCGUGAACCUUUACUAUAACUUGAUAUUGGAUCUUAGCUAAACAUGUGUAGGAUAGGUGGGAGGCUGUGAAUUCCGGCCGCUAGGUCGGGAGGAGCCAACCUUGAAAUACCACCCUGGCUGUCUCUG
rnacentral:rRNA from 1 species